AACGAACGCUGGCGGCGCGCCUAAUACAUGCAAGUCGAGCGAGAAGACGUAGCAAUACGUUUGUAAAGCGGCGAACGGGUGAGGAAUACAUGGGUAACCUACCCUCGAGUGGGGAAUAACUAGCCGAAAGGUUAGCUAAUACCGCGUACGCUCCUUGGACUUCGGUUCAGGGAGGAAAGCGAUACCGUGGGUAUCGCGCUCUUGGAUGGGCUCAUGUCCUAUCAGCUUGUUGGUGAGGAACGGCUCACCAAGGCUUCGACGGGUAGCUGGUCUGAGAGGACGAUCAGCCACACUGGCACUGCGACACGGGCCAGACUCCUACGGGAGCAGCAGUAAGGAAUAUUGCGCAAUGGGCGAAAGCCUGACGCAGCGACGCCGCGUGGGGGAUGAAGGUCUUCGGAUUGUAAACCCCUUUCGGGAGGGAAGAUGGAACGAGCAAUCGUUCGGACGGUACCUCCACGAAGCAGCCACGGCUAACUUCGUGCCAGCAGCCGCGGUAAC
rnacentral:rRNA from 1 species